rnacentral:rRNA from 1 species
UACGUAGGCAGCGAGCGUUGUUCGGAGUUACUGGGCGUAAAGCGUGCGUAGGCGGUGCCAUAAGUCUGUUGUGAAAUCUCCCGGCUUAACUGGGAGGGUGCGGUGGAAACUGUGGUGCUGGAGUGUGGGAGAGGUAGGCGGAAUUCCUGGUGUAGCGGUGAAAUGCGUAGAUAUCCGGAGGAACACCGGUGGCGAAGGCGGCUUCCUGGACCGACACUGACGCUGAGGCGCGAAAGCUAGGGGAGCAAACGGG